GUGUUUUUCUGUGAUCUGUUGGUGGAUACUUCUGUCUUCAGCUUUCACGUUUGGCAAUGCGGCAGUGAAGCACACUACAACUUUAUUUGUCAAUCAUGGAGAGUCUGCCAAAAUCAGAUGCAACUACAGCCGAACAGAUGACACAGAAAUCAUGACAGUGGAACUUAAAACAUUUAAUCAUACAUGCAUGUGUUCAUACAUACAUUUGAAUUCAUGGCAAAAACAAAACUGUAAAGAUCAUAUCAGAUUCAUAUGGAUUUCAGAGGCUGAGGAAAUAUCAUUUGAACUAUUAAAUCUCCGUAUUAAGGAUACCGACACAUACACCUGUACUGUGAGGAGGACUGCAAAACCACCUCAAGUGGACCUGGGAGUUCAAAGAGUUCAAGUUAUUGUGUAUCCCGUCUUGUCUCUGUCCUGUGUGAAGAGGCCUGACGGAUCUCUCAUGAUUCUGUGCUCUGCGGAAUUUUCCCACGAUUCUCUUGAACAGUUGUGGAUCAGAGACGGACACAUCCUCGAAAGCUCAUUCUCAAACAAAUCAUUCAAUGGAUCCUUUAGUCAGCAAUCAUACCUUAUACUGCCACCACAAACCUUCAAUGAUACAAUCUACUCCUGCUGGGUAAACCACUCAUCCUUAAACAAACCACUGGUGGCCAAUUUAUCAAGCUCUGUAUGCUAUGAAAAAGGGGGUAAGUUUUUCUUGUUUAAAUGUGUUAUAUACUGUACAACAUAAUGACGUAUCAGUAAGAAAUAACCUACAAUGUGGUUUAUAACAGGCUUUUGCAAUAAUUGUAGAUCUAAUCGAGGCUCUGGCAGUGGCAUUUGUUAUCUCUGCAGUUUUGACAGUCUGUUGGAUGAUUUUUGUAGUCCUGUUGGCACAUUAAGUCUCAGGAAUGAACUCUGUGUCUAUAUUAAGAAUCUUAUUUUUUAUUUCUAUUUUAAAUGUCCUUCUGAUUCUGUAACUGAAUACUGGAAUGCUUAUUACCAUUCUUAAUUUGAUUGUUAAACCUAAUGACCUCAGUUGUCUAUGAACAUGAUUGUAUUCAAAUGUACAGAUGUUACAGGGCUCCAGACUGCGCCUAAAAUGGUCGCAUUUUCCACCAAAAAAUAUUCAUUUCCGAAUAAACUUUUUGCUGACAUCGCCAC